CCAUGGGAUCUUUGAAAUAGAUACACUCAGCUAGUUCAACAUUCUCCAUGGGAUGGAAAACAGCAGCCAAGUACAAGGCCUCUCAUUCGCCUGCAGGGUGGAUACCAACCAAACGUUCCAGAACGUCUGAGUGGGUCUCUCUACAUCUCAUGUCACCCAUUUCAUCAUUACAUUUACUACUUUACCAGCAAACAGGGACAAUGGCUCGUCUUCAGAGGUAAGUAAUCAAGUUUGAAGGUAAGACCCAGAUGCAGACUGUGUCGAAGUAACAGUGUUUAUUUCAGCAACAGGCAAACGACAGGUCAAGGCAGGCAGGGGUCGAUAACCAGAGUAGUGGGGGGAACGAUACAGGACGGCAGGCAGGCUCAGGGUCAGGUCAGGCAGGGGUCGAUAACCAGAGUAGUAGGGGAAAGGUACAGGACGGCAGGCAGGCUCAGGGUCAGGGACAGACAGAGUGGUCAGGCAGGCGGG